rnacentral:rRNA from 1 species
ACUCCUGCGGGAGGCAGCAGUGGGGAAUUUUGGACAAUGGGCGAAAGCCUGAUCCAGCAAUGCCGCGUGUGUGAAGAAGGCCUUCGGGUUGUAAAGCACUUUUGUCCGGAAAGAAAUCCUUGGCUCUAAUACAGUCGGGGGAUGACGGUACCGGAAGAAUAAGCACCGGCUAACUACGUGCCAGCAGCCGCGGUAAUACGUAGGGUGCGAGCGUUAAUCGGAAUUACUGGGCGUAAAGCGUGCGCAGGCGGUUUGCUAAGACCGAUGUGAAAUCCCCGGGCUCAACCUGGGAACUGCAUUGGUGACUGGCAGGCUAGAGUAUGGCAGAGGGGGGUAGAAUUCCACGUGUAGCAGUGAAAUGCGUAGAGAUGUGGAGGAAUACCGAUGGCGAAGGCAGCCCCCUGGGCCAAUACUGACGCUCAUGCACGAAAGCGUGGGGAGCAAACAGGAUUAGAUACCCUAGUAGUCCC